rnacentral:rRNA from 1 species
UACGGAGGGUGCAAGCGUUAUCCGGAUUCACUGGGUUUAAAGGGUGUGUAGGCGGGUUUGUAAGUCAGUGGUGAAAUCUCCGAGCUCAACUUGGAAACUGCCAUUGAUACUAUAGAUCUUGAAUUUUGUUGAGGUAGGCGGAAUACGUCAUGUAGCGGUGAAAUGCAUAGAUAUGACAUAGAACACCGAUUGCGAAGGCAGCUUACUAAGCAAAUAUUGACGCUGAGGCACGAAAGCGUGGGGAUCAAACAGG